rnacentral:rRNA from 1 species
AACGAACGCUGGCGGCAGGCCUAACACAUGCAAGUCGAACGCCCUAGCAAUAGGGAGUGGCAGACGGGUGAGUAACGCGUGGGAACCUUCCCAGUGGUACGGAAUAACUCAGGGAAACUUGAGCUAAUACCGUAUACGCCCGAAAGGGGAAAGAUUUAUCGCCAUUGGAUGGGCCCGCGUCGGAUUAGCUAGUUGGUGGGGUAACGGCCCACCAAGGCUACGAUCCGUAGCUGGUCUGAGAGGAUGAUCAGCCACACUGGGACUGAGACACGGCCCAGACUCCUACGGGAGGCGGCAGUGGGGAAUAUUGGACAAUGGGCGCAAGCCUGAUCCAGCCAUGCCGCGUGAGUGACGAAGGCCUUAGGGUUGUAAAGCUCUUUCGGCGGGGAAGAUAAUGACGGUACCCGCAGAAGGAGCCCCGGCUAACUCUGUGCCAGCCGCCGCGGUAAAAC